UGCCGCACCGUUAUGUUAGGCGGCCGCUUCCCCCUUCGCAAUUCUGCUGCUUCCGCCUUCCUCCAGUCUCUUGGUGGAGAUUUAGGCUUCAGCUCGUGGAAAAUAAUCAUGGAACUGGAUUUCAGGGAUCCUGCGCACGUCGUACUGAGCUCUUCAGGAAUGAAAAAGCAUGAUGUUUUCCAUGGCAAUGUGGUAUCUCCGGUUCCUCACCUCAAACCCUGUGCAAGCCCUAAGCUGGGCUGGCCUUCAGUGUCUGCCCUUUGUAUGAUCAGGUGGUUGGCGUGAGAGGGCCACAGCAGGUCCAUCCAUGAUGUCACAAAUGGUGGAAUUUCCUUCUCUUUUAAGGCUGAAUAACAUUCUGUUGUAUGCAUGUACCACAUUUUCUUUAUCCAUUUGUCUGUUAUUGGAAAUUUGGGUUGUUUCCACAUCUUGACUAUUGUGAAUCAUGCUGU